GCAGGAGCCCUACACAGCCUCCGUGGUGAGAUCCAGAAACCUGCUGAUCUACGAGGAACAUUCUCCCCCAGAGGAGUCAUCCAGCCCGGGCUCGGCUGGGGAGCUGGGGGGCUGGGAUAGAGGUUCCUCCCUGCUCAGGGUGUCAGGGCUGGAGUCCAGGCCGGAUGUGGAUCUUCCCCAUUUCAUUAUCUCGAAUGAGACCAGCCUGGAGAAGUCAGUGCUUUUGGAGCUGCAGCAGCACCUGGUCAGCGCCAAACUGGAGGGGAAUGAAACACUAAAAGUUGUAGAACUCGACAGAAGAGUGAACACCACUUUCUAAAGAGGCUGCCUGCACCCCCUCCCUUUCCCUUAACUCUACUUUUACAUCCCCAAACCACCUUUGUCAUCAGCUUUUCCUCUUUGCCACUGGAUCUUCAUGGAGACAUGGGCAAGCAUUAGUGGCUUCAGAUUGGAGACCAGCCUGGGACUUCCCUGCAGUGAGAGAGCAUCUCCCCCUGGUCCAUGCCCCUCCUGUGCAGAAGGGAGCCUGCAUCCCUCCCUUCCUUUCUCUUACUGCCAUAGGAAAUUAUUUUAGGGGUUGGAGGUGGGACAAGCAGGCUUGUUUCCACCAAUAGUGCCAAAAAGAUAUUGCCUAAUGUGCACCUGUGAGGUGUAACCCCCCGCUUUGGAGACGAGAUGGCUCUUGUUCAGUCAAGACCCCAGACUCUGGCCACAAAAAUGCCAUAAUGCCUGUUGGUAUUUGGCAAAGCACUGACCCGUGUCCUCCGUUGCUCGCACUGGGGUCUCUGGUGUGAACACCCCCGACAGCAGCCCUCCGC
rnacentral:lncRNA from 10 species